UACGAAGGGGGCUAGCGUUGCUCGGAAUCACUGGGCGUAAAGCGCACGUAGGCGGAUCUUUAAGUCAGGGGUGAAAUCCCAAGGCUCAACCUUGGAACUGCCUUUGAUACUGGGGAUCUCGAGUCCGGAAGAGGUUGGUGGAACUGCGAGUGUAGAGGUGAAAUUCGUAGAUAUUCGCAAGAACACCAGUGGCGAAGGCGGCUCACUGGCCCGAUACUGACGCUGAGGUGCGAAAGCGUGGGGAGCAAACAGG
rnacentral:rRNA from 1 species